CGGGCCAACCUCGGGCUUAACGGCCCACCCUCGGGCUUACCAGCCCUCCCAAACCAGGUGGGGCCCCACAAACGCUUCCCCUACCCAGUGCGGGCGGAGAAGCGGGGUCCAUAUGGCAGGUGAAGACGAGAAUCCACUCUGGAGCCGGAUUUGCCUUCUGCAGAAUGCAGACUAGCUGAAUCAUCAGCCCCAUCGCCCAAGGCAGGCAAAACAAGUGGAAUUCUUCAAAGACCAUACCUGGAUGGGGAAAUCCUCGGGGAAGGCCGGGGAACCCUGGGACAUCUUCCGCGAGGUGCAGGCCCUACCAGGCCUCGGGAGGAGGCAGGCCAAGACCGGAAGUGAGCCAGAUUCUGCAGGGCCCUCCCAGGUUCAAAUCCUGGGCAUCCCUGCCUCACCUGUCCGGGGAAAGGAUAACCUGUCACGGGCUCCUGGCUCUGGGGAUGAAAUGGGUUCAUCACCUGGAGCCUUAAAAUACUGCCUGGCACUUGGCAUAAACCAGAAUUCUCUCUGCUCCCUUUCUCGUUCCAAAACAGCCCUUUGCUUUAUCUAAUUCCUUUGGUUCCUUUGACAGCUUUUUUAAAAAAAAGAAAAAAAGAAUGUGGUUAGCACAUUUUGUUGACAUAUUUUUACAAAGACCAAGCCAGCCUAUCCUCUUAAAAAUAUUUCUAAGAGAUUAUGUUUUGUUCCCAUUUGCUUUGAGGAAUAACCUUUACAUCACUGAGAGGGACAAAAACAUGACAAUGAGACAG
ensembl:lncRNA